CUGAGUGCAGGAAUACAGAGGACGUUGUGGUGAAAGGGCCUUCUGUGUUCUCGCAGCCCCCU
rnacentral:miRNA from 14 species